rnacentral:rRNA from 1 species
GCAGCAUGGUCUUAGCUUGCUAAGGCUGAUGGCGACCGGCGCACGGGUGAGUAACACGUAUCCAACCUGCCGUCUACUCUUGGCCAGCCUUCUGAAAGGAAGAUUAAUCCAGGAUGGGAUCAUGAGUUCACAUGUCCGCAUGAUUAAAGGUAUUUUCCGGUAGACGAUGGGGAUGCGUUCCAUUAGAUAGUAGGCGGGGUAACGGCCCACCUAGUCAACGAUGGAUAGGGGUUCUGAGAGGAAGGUCCCCCACAUUGGAACUGAGACACGGUCCAAACUCCUACGGGAGGCAGCAGUGAGGAAUAUUGGUCAAUGGGCGAUGGCCUGAACCAGCCAAGUAGCGUGAAGGAUGACUGCCCUAUGGGUUGUAAACUUCUUUUAUAAAGGAAUAAAGUCGGGUAUGCAUACCCGUUUGCAUGUACUUUAUGAAUAAGGAUCGGCUAACUCCGUGCCAGCAGCCGCGGUAAUACGGAGGAUCCGAGCGUUAUCCGGAUUUAUUGGGUUUAAAGGGAGCGUAGAUGGAUGUUUAAGUCAGUUGUGAAAGUUUGCGGCUCAACCGUAAAAUUGCAGUUGAUACUGGAUGUCUUGAGUGCAGUUGAGGCAGGCGGAAUUCGUGGUGUAGCGGUGAAAUGCUUAGAUAUCACGAAGAACUCCGAUUGCGAAGGCAGCCUGCUAAGCUGCAACUGACAUUGAGGCUCGAAA